rnacentral:lncRNA from 1 species
UUUAACAUCAAUUAAUAAUUCCAGUGCUAUAUUAUUUGGAGGUGACACUGCUAAUGGAGUCAGUAGCGAUGUAUAUAUUCUUAAUUUUACUGAUACAUCAGUGAAUUGUUCAAAGUUAUCUAAUCCUGGAAGAUCAGUACAAUGGCCUAAGGAAAGACGUGCUCAUUCUAGUGUAUUGAUUAACACUAGCUCAGGACCACACCUACUAGUGGUGGGUGGAUAUGAUGCUCAUGAUAUUUGGAUAUUUGAUAUUAGCAAUAAAUCAUGGAAGGAACUGGUUAAUAUACCAGACAGUGUCGCUAAUAGAUGGUAUCAUUCUCUCUCAGUUUGGAGUGUGACUCCAACCACUAACUGGAUAAUUGUGUUUGGA